CUUCUUUCACAGAGGCAAUAUUGUAGCCUAUAUGAGGCUCAUCCGAGGCGCGAUCAUUGCUGGUUGAAAUUUUUACCCAAUACCCCGCCAGGAUGACAAAGGGAAGUCGUGGCCUAGUGGUCAGAGAGUUUGACUCCUAAGCCUAGG